UAAAUAUAUAUUAUAUUGUUACAUAAUUAUAACCUUAAUUCCAGAGCCUUUCUUUUACUUAACAUUGCAUUUAAGCAUUUCACGAGACCAUUUAAUGUUAUUUAUAAAUAUUGACAUAAUGCCUGCAGGGAUUUUGUGCCUUGGCGCAGACUUAUUUUAUCCUCUGUUCCGCUAGCGUUGGCUCCAAUCACUCCUAAAAAAUAAACAGGCAGUGGGCACUCACCGAUAAAUCUUCAUCCAAACCUAACAUUUUUUUAGCAACAGCUCCUGUAACCUCAUCAACUUUGAUUUAUUGUCUAAUAUCAGUAUCACUAUAUAGAAGAUAAAGGACUAGAGAGAUAGCUCAGUGGUUAAGAGCACUGCUCUUCCAAGGGACCCAUGUAAAAGACCACAAUUGUCUGUAACUCCAUUUCCGGGAGAAUCUGCUGCCCUCUUCUGGUCUACACAAGCACUGCAGGCACGCAGUAUACACACUCUCAACCACAACCCGACUCAACCAUACAAAAUGGUUUCAUGAACUUCCAUAAUUCAAUAGAUGUGAGUCAGUACUGCGAAGCUUUCCUUUCUGGUUGUGUUAGCUUACAUUUUUUUAGUUUCUUCUCAGGGCCGUUACCACUGACAGGCUCUAGGUCUUGAGGUGACUCAACCUUAAAUUUGAAUAGAAAGACAGAACAAGGCAUAUUUGAAGAUGAUUUUCAGUCCUUUUAGGAAGGCUUCCUUCGUGGGAAAGAUUCAAUGAAAAGUUUGUUUGGUGAUUGGAGUGUUUGGUUCUGUCAGCUUGAAGAGUAUAAUCCAGUCCUGUCGACUUGACACUGUGAGGAACCACCUGAGAAGAGAGAGUCUCAGUGAGGAAUGAGCUAGAUCAGAUCGGUCUGUGAGAAUGUCUGUGUGGAGCUAUCUUGGUUACUUUACCUAACAUGGGAUAAUCUGCCCACUGUGGUGGGGGGUACCAUUCCCUAAGCUUGGGGUCCUGGACUGACUGGCUGUAAAGGGGAGUUGGAGGCUAGCCUGGGCUGCCCUGUGAUACUUUAGCAGGCCCAGUAAGUCAGAAUCCUUGAGGGCUGCUGCUGGAAAGAUGGGGUUUUUCACCUGUCUGGUUGACUCCAGUGAUCCUUCAGUUGGGGAACUGGAGAGCCCGGUGUCUGUCUCUUAGCCUUUAUCCUGUGAGUCCGAGAAGAUGUGGAAGAGCUGGAGGACUCUUAUUAGCUUAAGCCACACAACACUUGAACUUUUCCUGGGGUUCAACAGUCCCCAUAACACUGCCCCAUGAGCCCAUCCUCUUCCUGUUACAGAUCAUCAAAGGAGAUAAUGGGGGACUUUGGAUCUAGAAAAUGAUGUCAUUGUUAUGGGCUAUUUUGCUUUGGUAUAAGGAAAGGAAGGAUUAAUAGAGUGUGGGAGUCGAGUCGGUGCAGAAGGACAGAAAGCUUGCCUAAGGCAGUAUUUAGCAACAUCAUCUCGUUCUAAAUUUACACAUUAAUACGUAUUGUAUCUGUCUACUUAGAAAAAGAAACAAAAGCCAAGCCUGCUGUCUUAACAAAGCAGAAAAUUCUGUUUGCCUCCUCCUAUGAUAUGGCCUGAGUUCUGGCAGUUCUAGAACCUUCUGAAGCACAGGCAUAGAAGGUAGAAUGCUUACAUUGGACACCUCACUCCAUCAGUGCUACCAACGAGCGGGGCCACUUGCUCCUCCCCACUGCCCCUCUCCCACCAUGGCUGUUGGACUCAAAGCCACGUGCUCAGGUGAGGGAACUAAGAAGAAAGGGAAGUUGAGUCACUUGCUGGAGACUAAAAGCUCCAACCAGGAAGAGAAAAACAGCUGACUUCAACCCAAGUAAUUGGGCCCCAUCUCCUUUCUAACGCACUGAACUUGAGUGCUCCCACGGUCGGUGUGGCCUCCCAUGGUCGGUGUGGAAGCCGUGGCAUUUGGUUUGCUAAAGGACGCUCUAUUUCCGCUUUUCCAGCUCUGUUUCUACUUAUUCUCCUUUUUUGUCAGCUUGUCCUCGAGAGGCUCACCUUGAGUGCAGCUCACUGCUCUUGCCUGUCGUUGUAAGGAAGAUGCAACCUGGGGUACUUUCAAUUCAGAAGACUUGGAGCUAAGAGAACUCAAAGUCUGGAAUAUCUCUCUCUGCUGGGGUGACUUGAAUAAACUGGCAAAUCAAAAG
rnacentral:sRNA from 1 species